rnacentral:misc_RNA from 1 species
GAUGAAGAACGUAGUGAAAUGCGAUAAGUAAUGUGAAUUGCAGAAUUCAGUGAAUCAUCGAAUCUUUGAACGCACCUUGCACCCUUUGGUAUUCCGAAGGGUAUGCUCGUUUGAGUGUCAUUGUACUCUCACACUUCCAAUCUUUGGAUUGGGGGCGGUGGACUUGGGUGUUGCUGCUUACUGUGGCUCACCUCAAAUUGAUUCGUGCACCUCUUGGUUGGACAUAGUACGGCGUGAUAAGUGUCUUCGCCGGCACCUCAGUAGAGGGUGGCUGAUCGGGAGCUCUGUGCUUCAAACCGUCCUCGGACAACAACUGACAACUUGACCUCAAAUCGAGUAGGACUACCCGCUGAACUUAAGCAUAUCAAUAAGCGGAGGA